GAUGAACGCUGGCGGCGUGCCUAAUACAUGCAAGUCGAGCGAACAGACGAGGAGCUUGCUCCUUUGACGUUAGCGGCGGACGGGUGAGUAACACGUAGGUAACCUACCUAUAAGACUGGGAUAACUUCGGGAAACCGGAGCUAAUACCGGAUAAUAUUUCGAACCGCAUGGUUCGAUAGUGAAAGAUGGCUUUGCUAUCACUUAUAGAUGGACCUGCGCCGUAUUAGCUAGUUGGUAAGGUAACGGCUUACCAAGGCAACGAUACGUAGCCGACCUGAGAGGGUGAUCGGCCACAUUGGAACUGAGACACGGUCCAGACUCCUACGGGAGGCAGCAGUAGGGAAUCUUCCGCAAUGGGCGAAAGCCUGACGGAGCAACGCCGCGUGAGUGAUGAAGGUCUUCGGAUCGUAAAACUCUGUUAUUAGGGAAGAACAAACGUGUAAGUAACUGUGCACGUCUUGACGGUACCUAAUCAGAAAGCCACGGCUAACUACGUGCCAGCAGCCGCGGUAAUAC
rnacentral:rRNA from 1 species